CCACAAUAUAAUUAGGGGGGGUCACGUCCCCCUCACCUUAAAAAAAAAGUUGUUUGGACCCCCCCACAUUUGCCAUCAAAAGUAUUAGUGCAUGACCGAUCUACUUCAGCGUUCUUUCCCUUGCUUCACAAUCAAAUCCGUUCCAUUUUUUCAUUAGGGAGAAUACCCAUAUCAAUAGAAAUCCACUCCGCGAUUUCCUGGUUUCCUACACAGAGUCACUUCACAAUCAAAUCCGUUCCACUUUAUCAGUAGGGGGGGAUACCUAUAUCAAUAGAUAUCCACUCCGCGUUUUCCUGGUUUCCUACACACAGCCGCACGCAACUACAAAUGUCAUAAUGUCCGGCUUUUACUGAAGUUUUGUUUGACUGAGCUACAGACGGGAGAUGGACAUAAGGCGUUUUUUUUUCGAAGAAAAGGAAAGUGGUUGAGAUUGAGAGUGAGUCAGAGGCAAGGGCACUAUGCAGGGGCAGUGGAGACAGCUCUGUUGCUGAGGAACAACAGUCAUUAGAUAGGGAAGAGGGAGAGGGAAAUAUUGAGAGCAAGAGAGAGAGAACGGCCCAUUCUGAUGGAGAUGCAAGAGAGAGGGAUGCUGAGAGAGACGAGGGUGAG